GCUGGGGUCGCUCAAUCAGGUAGAGCACUGGUCUCGAAAACCAGCGGGCGCAAGCUCAUGUGGGUUCAAAUCCCACUCCCAGCG
rnacentral:tRNA from 1 species